AUUGAACGCUGGCGGCAGGCCUAACACAUGCAAGUCGAGCGGAAACACAAGGGAGCUUGCUCCUGAGGUGUCGAGCGGCGGACGGGUGAGUAAUGCUUGGGAAACUGCCCAGUCGUGGGGGACAACCAUUGGAAACGAUGGCUAAUACCGCAUACGCCCUACGGGGGAAAGAAGGGGACUCUUCGGAGCCUUUCGCGAUUGGAUGUGCCCAAGUGGGAUUAGCUAGUUGGUGAGGUAAGAGCUCACCAAGGCGACGAUCCCUAGCUGGUUUGAGAGGAUGAUCAGCCACACUGGAACUGAGACACGGUCCAG
rnacentral:rRNA from 1 species